rnacentral:rRNA from 1 species
AGAGUUUGAUCAUGGCUCAGGACGAACGCUGGCGGCGUGCCUAACACAUGCAAGUCGAACGGAAAGGCCCUUCGGGGUACUCGAGUGGCGAACGGGUGAGUAACACGUGGGUGAUCUGCCCUGCACUUUGGGAUAAGCCUGGGAAACUGGGUCUAAUACCGAAUAUGACCAUGCACUUCCUGGUGUGUGGUGGAAAGCUUUUGCGGUGUGGGAUGGGCCCGCGGCCUAUCAGCUUGUUGGUGGGGUAAUGGCCUACCAAGGCGACGACGGGUAGCCGGCCUGAGAGGGUGACCGGCCACACUGGGACUGAGAUACGGCCCAGACUCCUACGGGAGGCAGCAGUGGGGAAUAUUGCACAAUGGGCGCAAGCCUGAUGCAGCGACGCCGCGUGAGGGAUGACGGCCUUCGGGUUGUAAACCUCUUUCAGCACAGACGAAGCGCAAGUGACGGUAUGUGCAGAAGAAGGACCGGCCAACUACAUGCCAGCAGCCGCGGUAAUACGUAGGGUCCGAGCGUUGUCCGGAAUUACUGGGCGUAAAGAGCUCGUAGGUGGUUUGUCGCGUUGUUCGUGAAAACUCACAGCUUAACUGUGGGCGUGCGGGCGAUACGGGCAGACUUGAGUACUGCAGGGGAGACUGGAAUUCCUGGUGUAGCGGUGGAAUGCGCAGAUAUCAGGAGGAACACUGGUGGCGAAGGCGGGUCUCUGGGCAGUAACUAACGCUGAGGAGCGAAAGCGUGGGGAGCGAACAGGAUUAGAUACCCCGGUAGUCC